GGAAAGAGAUCUCCACACUCUCCGACCAACUGGGAGAGAUUCACGAGGAGAACAAGAAGUUGCUGGAGUCGCAGGAUGAAUAUAAGAAGGUAAUAAUGCGACUGGAGAAAGCAGACUAGACAAAAUCUGAGGUGGUCAACCGUGCAACUGCGGAAGCUCACCGCGCAACUGAGGAAGCUCGACUUGCAAUUGAAGAGCGUCAACGUGUGGUCACCCACUUGGAGACACUCGAAGCCGAUUUUCUCGUCAAUCUAUGAGAUUAUAAUGACUUGGUUGAUCUGGGUCCUCAUGUUUGCCCGGGCUUUGAAGCCGCAGAUGUUCAUGACUGGGCCCGUAAGAAUCCCAAAGAAGCCACCGAAGUUCGUGAUCGGGCGCUUGCAGAGGAAAGGGAUGAGGAGGAGAGAGAGAAUGAAGAGGAGGAGAUUCUACAGGCGCUUGCUGACAUUGAUACAGACUUUUCUAUAGAAGAUCAAGAUAAUAAUGAUGCAGCGGGUUCUGAAGACAUUCCCCCCCUUCCUAAAAUAGAUUAAGUUCUCUACUUUUUGUUGUAACUUACAUUCCUCUGUAAUUCUUUUUUAAAUCAAUAUAUGGAAUGUUUUUU
rnacentral:lncRNA from 1 species